GGACUACCCGGGUAUCUAAUCCUGUUUGAUCCCCACGCUUUCGCGCCUCAGCGUCAGUUGUCGUCCAGAUAGCCGCCUUCGCCACCGGUGUUCCUCCUAAUAUCUACGUAUUUCACCACUACAUUAGGAAUUCCGCUAUCCCCUCCAACACUCCAGCCUGCUAGUUUCAAAGGCAGUUCUUGGGUUGAGCCCAAGGAUUUCACCCCUGACUUGGCAGGCCGCCUACGCGCGCUUUACGCCCAGUGAUUCCGAACAACGCUAGCACCCUUCGUAUUACCGCGGCGGCUGGCAC
rnacentral:rRNA from 1 species